GGAGCAAUACCGCGUGAGGGAGGAAGGCUCUUGGGUUGUAAACCUCUUUUCUCAGGGAAUAAGUACUGAAGGUACCUGAGGAAUCAGCAUCGGCUAACUCCGUGCCAGCACCGCGGUAAUA
rnacentral:rRNA from 1 species